GGGUAAGAAGUGUUUACACGUUUAGGCUUCGAACCAAAAAAAGAAUUUAUUUUUCCUUACCCU
rnacentral:tRNA from 1 species